CCUCACUUAGUACAUUGUAAGGAAUCUUCAAAUUUGAAAUAACAUGUACUUAGCAGAAAUAUGAAAAAAGAAACAUGGACUGGUAAUGAUCCCGAAACACAAGUUUUCAUUGCCUCAUACAAUUUAUUCAAGUGCCAUGAUUGGCCCCCAUUAUGUCAGAUCUUGGACACAACCUGUUAUCAGUAGAAGGCAGAGGUCAGCAGAUGUCAGGUUUGUGUUCCCAUGGUAAAACACUGUUUUGUUUGAAGGUCCUUGUGUAUUUGUUCAAUGACAAAGAAAACACAGUGUUACGUGGUCUCUGUGUGUCAGCGUUGCUACUGCUCUAACAGUUUGUCAAAAAAAAAAAAACCCAAAACAUGUAUUUUGUGGAAUCUGAAGAGUUGAUUGAAACACUACAGUAAUGGAAAAGGAUACUUGAAUCAUUUCUUGUUUUCAGUUAUGGAUACUCUGGAUGAUGCAGCGUGCAGGGAGUUAACACAACAGAAUAUGAGGGUUACAUGAAAUCUCAGCAGUAAGCUGAUGUAUUUCUACGUACAGUAUAGCACAAGGCUUCCCCCCAAGUUCAGUUAUUUUCAAUCAGUUCUGUAGGUUGAAGACAGGACUGCAUGAAAGAACAGCCGUGUUUACAAAGAAUCUCCUUUUGUCCAGCACCUGCUGCUGCGCCUGUUAACUGUCUGUUAACUGUCUGUUAACUGUCUGCUUCUGCAGUCAACCGUGAAAAAGCAGUUUUCCUAUACAAGAACAAUGAAUGUGAGUCAUCGCUCCAAAUCAGAAGCUCAGGUCGCUAAGCAGCCCCCUCUGGUGGCCAGAGUGUUACAAACGUUUACAGGUAAGGCAAAGACAGGGUUAAAAUGACACAGCAGAAAAACAGAUUAAAAAACCGUUAAAAAAAGUGAGGAUUGUACGUUUCUGGGAGAUAAGGAUAGAAAUCUAAAAAAAAAGUAGAUGUUUUUGUUGAUUGGCAUGGUUUUAUAGGUUCUGGGAAAAACAGCUUUGAACUUAUUCACUGACGUCAUUACUUAAAAAAAGAUUAAAUCUCUUCUGUUGUCAAGCAAAAUAAAAUCGGAAGUAACACACGCCAUCUGGUGGUCAAAAACAAGCUUUGCAGUUGUAAGAAUACGAUCAUUGGGUGUGCGGUUGACUGGUGAGGUUGUGUGUGACACAUUUUAAGUAGAGCCUGCAUGCAGAUCGGUCGUCCGAGUGAUGCAGGCGGCAUAGGAGGCCGAACUCUGCCCCCUGCUGGGGACGACCUGUCUUAAGCACUCCGAGCCAGACGACCAAUUACGGUACUAUUGUUAGCUCGCCUUAAGUUUAAUGGUGGUUUCCUGAGCAUUUAGUACUGUGGAAGACAGUCUCCACAUAGUACAGGCUGACUAUUUUCCCAAACUUGGACGUUAUAAUGAGGGACUGAGCUUCAAAGAGGGGUCACCAGAGUGGAUCUUCUGCCUAAUCUCAGUUCCCAUGUCUUCUUUUCCUACAACCGUGAGUCUUCUCUGGAGUCUAGCUGUCUUCCCUCUGGCAGCUCCAACACCUAGUAUUCUGGAACAUUACCGUACACAGGUCCUUGGCUGUCUCCGUCCUCUUCAUCACAUGGUUUAUGCUGGAGCUGGUGUUCACCACUGGCGGCAGCAGCAGCAGCAGACUAACGUCCCCAUGUGUCGUGAUGAUGCGGUGAGCG